rnacentral:rRNA from 1 species
AUCGAGAUAUUUUGUCUUUUGCGAUACACUUUCAAAGAGUCAGGUUGUUUGGGAAUGCAGCCUAAAUUGGGUGGUAAAUCUCACCUAAAGCUAAAUAUUGGCGAGAAACCGAUAGCGAACAAGUACCGUGAGGGAAAGAUGAAAAGAACUUUGAAAAGAGAGUUAAACAGUAUGUGAAAUUGUUAAAAGGGAACCGUUUGGAGCCAGACUGGCUUGUCUGUAAUCAAUCUAGGUUUCGUGCCUGGAUGCACUUGCAGACUAUUUGCCUGCCAACGACAAUUUUUUUUGAGUGUAAAAACUAUUGGAAAUGUGGCCAAUAUUUAUUUAUUGGUGUUAUAGUCCUUUAGAAAAUACCUUGAAUUGGAUUGAGGAACGCAGCGAAUGCUUCUCUUUUGAGGCAAAGUCUUUUAUUGGGAUUUACGGAUCAGACUGUGGCAUUGUCACAAGACUUGAAGUUUAAACCUAUUUUUGAACUUUUAUUCGCU